ensembl:lncRNA
CCAACACACUCUGGUUCAGACACUUGAAGGAAACUUAUUUUUGUCUCCAUGUCAUGAGGACAGCAAGCAGGGCGGUCGAUUCUCAUUUCCACCACUCGGACCGGGGGGGGGGGGGGGGGGGCAGGUGGGGGGGGGCAAUGACGUAUCGUGGUCAUUAGUCGUUAGUCUGGUGUCUGAAAGCCGGCGUGAACAUCAUCGUUCACAGAGAACUGUCAAACGCCGGCGACACCGGGCCUAACACCCGAGGGGAGGGGCUCCGCCUGCUGAGGGGGGGGGGGGGGGUCAGAGCGCUCCAGCAGGUAACACAGCAAAUGAAGACGAAUGCACUUCAUCACUAUGGCGGUCUCACAGGCACACACACAGACGCACACAGACACACACUUAACACAGCUGGACAAGCUGCUGCCAAACGUCUGACCGACAUCGUCGUUUACAAAAAGGUUGUGUGUGUCUGUGUCUGUUUGUGUGUGUCUGUGUGCACUGUCGAAGGAAAACUAGAUCAGGGCCACAGAUGCUCGACAGCGUGACCGUCUCAUUAUCCCGGUCCGACCCCCCCGACCCCGUAUGUCACCCAGGAGUCGCCUUUCGGAGCCGUCUGAUUGAAGUCUAACUUCUCCUCCCCGUCCGAUUCCGCUCUGUCCAUCUCUCAUCACGUCACUAAGGGUUAUGUAAAGGUCUGCUCGUGUUUCAGAGUACAGUAAUAAACGGGGAGUGGGGGGGCUGUUAGGACCCGCGUUGGUCGAGCUCCAAUCAUUUCAUAGUAUUUCGGAGUGAUUAAAUUGGGCUUAUGAUGCAACAGUCCAGAUGAGCGGGACUUACAAGAAUGCGAGCAGACGGAGUGGUUGAUCACCGGCGUAAUCCUCUCGUCCUCCUAUUAGACGCUCCGCAUGCAAACAGAUCUGUUUAGUGCCUUUUAAAAGGAAAACGUCUUUGGGAGUGUGGGGGGGGGGGGGGGGUGUAAGCGCUGAAUGAAUGGAUGAAUGAUUGCCCUGCUGCGAUGGGGCUCAGCAGCGGGAUCCAGAUGUGAUAAUAAUGACAUCAGGUCUGCUCGGACUCUUUUAAGGGUUUUAUGUGAAGCACUUGCCUUGUUGCCUUGUUGUUGAAAUGUACAGUAGAAAUAAACUGGCCUUGCCUACAAUACCGCAGUCUUAAUACUACUAAUAUCUUUCUGUACGAGCUUUACCUUUAUCACCACAUUUAUUCCGCAUGCGGAAUGAAAGGACUACUUAAGGCUUUUACUGUGAAAGGUUGCUUGCAAAUGUUACGAUCAGGGCUUUUAUUUUGAAAAAAAUGUGAAUCUGACAAACAAACGUGGAUGUGUGUAAAAAAGAGCGGGAGAAGAUCCCACGAGGUCACACUCUACCCCCCCAGAUAGAAACUGACCCAUCAUGAACGCAGGCAGUGACAUUAAUCCCAACAACGCACACAUUUCUCUGCUGACAUAAUCACUUUUCGCUUCAUCCCUGUGUGGCUGGGAGGGCCGGGGGGGCCGGGGG